AGAGUUUGAUCAUGGCUCAGAUUGAACGCUGGCGGAAUGCUUUACACAUGCAAGUCGAGCGGCAGCGCGGGGGUAACCCUGGCGGCGAGCGGCGAACGGGUGAGUAAUGUAUCGGAACGUACCUAGUAAUGGGGGAUAACACAGCGAAAGCUGUGCUAAUACCGCAUACGCCCUGAGGGGGAAAGCGGGGGACUCGUAUGGGCCUCGCGUUAUUGGAGCGGCCGAUAUC
rnacentral:rRNA from 1 species